rnacentral:rRNA from 1 species
GACGAACGCUGGCGGCGUGCUUAACACAUGCAAGUCGAACGGAAAGGCCCUGCUUUUGUGGGGUGCUCGAGUGGCGAACGGGUGAGUAACACGUGAGUAACCUGCCCUUGACUUUGGGAUAACUUCAGGAAACUGGGGCUAAUACCGGAUAGGAGCUCCUGCUGCAUGGUGGGGGUUGGAAAGUUUCGGCGGUUGGGGAUGGACUCGCGGCUUAUCAGCUUGUUGGUGGGGUAGUGGCUUACCAAGGCUUUGACGGGUAGCCGGCCUGAGAGGGUGACCGGCCACAUUGGGACUGAGAUACGGCCCAGACUCCUACGGGAGGCAGCAGUGGGGAAUACUGCACAAUGGGCGGAAGCCUGAUGCAGCAACGCCGCGUGCGGGAUGACGGCCUUCGGGUUGUAAACCGCUUUCGCCUGUGACGAAGCGUGAGUGACGGUAAUGGGUAAAGAAGCACCGGCUAACUACGUGCCAGCAGCCGCGGUGAUACGUAGGGUGCGAGCGUUGUCCGGAUUUAUUGGGCGUAAAGGGCUCGUAGGUGGUUGAUCGCGUCGGAAGUGUAAUCUUGGGGCUUAACCCUGAGCGUGCUUUCGAUACGGGUUGACUUGAGGAAGGUAGGGGAGAAUGGAAUUCCUGGUGGAGCGGUGGAAUGCGCAGAUAUCAGGAGGAACACCAGUGGCGAAGGCGGUUCUCUGGGCCUUUCCUGACGCUGAGGAGCGAAAGCGUGGGGAGCGAACAGGCUUAGAUACCCUGGUAGUCCACGCUGUAAACGGUGGGUACUAGGUGUGGGGUCCAUUCCACGGGUUCCGUGCCGUAGCUAACGCUUUAAGUACCCCGCCUGGGGAGUACGGCCGCAAGGCUAAAACUCAAAGGAAUUGACGGGGCCCCGCACAAGCGGCGGAGCAUGCGGAUUAAUUCGAUGCAACGCGUAGAACCUUACCUGGGUUUGACAUGGAUCGGGAGCGCUCAGAGAUGGGUGUGCCUCUUUUGGGGUCGGUUCACAGGUGGUGCAUGGCUGUCGUCAGCUCGUGUCGUGAGAUGUUGGGUUAAGUCCCGCAACGAGCGCAACCCUUGUUCACUGUUGCCAGCACGUUAUGGUGGGGACUCAGUGGAGACCGCCGGGGUCAACUCGGAGGAAGGUGGGGAUGACGUCAAGUCAUCAUGCCCCUUAUGUCCAGGGCUUCACGCAUGCUACAAUGGCUGGUACAGAGAGUGGCGAGCCUGUGAGGGUGAGCGAAUCUCGGAAAGCCGGUCUCAGUUCGGAUUGGGGUCUGCAACUCGACCUCAUGAAGUCGGAGUCGCUAGUAAUCGCAGAUCAGCAACGCUGCGGUGAAUACGUUCCCGGG